ensembl:lncRNA
UAUAUAUAUAUAUUUCAGUCAGUCAUCAUUGCAAUCGAUAAAACGAGGGUCGUAAGGAUUUUAACAUCCCAACAUUACGAGCAGGAUCUUUACCACUGAGCCAUGGGAAGUAGUUUAGAAAAUGUAAAUACAUCAAAUUCAUUCACAUUAUCACAUUUGGCAGACACUUGGCAGGUAAGCAAGAAUGGUAGUAAAAAAAAAAAAAAAAGUAAGUAAGAGAGAAAGAAAGUAUGUAAGGUAAGUAAGUAGGCAAGUUAAAAAGUAAGUACGUAAGUAAGUAAGUAAGGGAAGUACGUUAGAAAGAAGUAUGUAAGUAAGGUAAUUAAGUUAGAAAGAAAGAAAGUAAGUAAGGUAAGUAAGUUAGAAAGAAAGAAAGUAAGUAAGGUAAGUAAGUUAGAAAGAAAGAAAGAAAGUAAGGUAAGUAAGUUAGAAAGAAAGUAAGUAAGUAAGUAAGUAAGGUAAGUAAGUAG